rnacentral:rRNA from 1 species
UACGGAGGGAGCUAGCGUUGUUCGGAUUUACUGGGCGUAAAGCGCACGUAGGCGGUGCGGUAAGUCAGGGGUUAAAGGCUGCAGCUCAACUGCAGUAAGGCCUUUGAUACUAUCGCGCUAGAGUACCAGAGAGGAUGGCGGAAUUCCCGGUGUAGCGGUGAAAUGCGUAGAUAUCGGGAGGAAGGCCGGUGGCGAAGGCGGCCUCCUGGGCCUGCACUGACGCUCAUGCACGAAAGCGUGGGGAGCAAACAGG